CCAAUUCCCGCAAACUGACCGUGUCUGGUUUUUGCGAUAGCGUCGUUUGUAAACAGGUCCCAGUCACCGGCGAGCACUGCUGGCGACCAAUCACAUGACGUCCUCUCUCCUCUUUGCUGCCCUCGCGUGGGAAAGGCAGUUGCGACGCCGAGCCCGCUUCCUCUCGCCCGACACCUGACGGCCCCGAGUUGGCCAUGGCUUUGCUGCUGUGCCGACGGCCCAUUCCUCUCCUGGCUGUCCACCCACGCAAAUACAAAAGGACAGGAGUCGCAGAAUCGAAUAACAACGAAAAAGUCGGACCAAAAAUGUAAAUAGGCGGGCUGUUGAGCACCAUGGAUCGUGUCCAUCGCCCCCCCCCCUGCCCCACCGCUGGCCGUGUCGCCAAAUAGAAAAUCGUAC
rnacentral:lncRNA from 1 species